GACACACAGAGCCCUUCCCGGCUGUGGACAGGAGCUGCCUCGGCUGAAGCUGGAGACGCCAACGAAAGGUGGAGAACGGCCUAGAGUCUGGAGCUGCAGAAGAGGCAGGGCGGAGAGGAGGGGAAAGAAGCAUCUGAACGGCUAAAUUGUGCCAGCAGCGCUGAGAGCGAGAGUCGCGAGACCGUGCUGAGGACGUGGUUGUCUGUCCUUCCCCCGGGGAUGCCGU